rnacentral:rRNA from 1 species
UGGGGAAUAUUGCACAAUGGGGGAAACCCUGAUGCAGCGACGCCGCGUGGAGGAAGAAGGUCUUCGGAUUGUAAACUCCUGUUGUUGGGGACGAUAAUGACGGUACCCAACAAGGAAGUGACGGCUAACUACGUGCCAGCAGCCGCGGUAAAACGUAGGUCACAAGCGUUGUCCGGAAUUACUGGGUGUAAAGGGAGCGCAGGCGGGAAUGCAAGUUGGGAGUGAAAUCUACGGGCUCAACCCGUAAACUGCUCUCAAAACUGUAUUUCUUGAGUAGUGCAGAGGUAGGCGGAAUUCCCGGUGUAGCGGUGGAAUGCGUAGAUAUCGGGAGGAACACCAGUGGCGAAGGCGGCCUACUGGGCACCAACUGACGCUGAGGCUCGAAAGUGUGGGUAGCAAACAGGAUUAGAUACCCUUGU